rnacentral:rRNA from 1 species
UGGGGAAUAUUGCACAAUGGGCGAAAGCCUGAUGCAGCAACGCCGCGUGAGGGAUGACGGCCUUCGGGUUGUAAACCUCUUUUGGCAGGGAAGAAGCGAAAGUGACGGUACCUGCAGAAAAAGCACCGGCUAACUACGUGCCAGCAGCCGCGGUAAUACGUAGGGUGCAAGCGUUGUCCGGAAUUAUUGGGCGUAAAGAGCUCGUAGGCGGUUUGUCGCGUCUGCUGUGAAAACGCGAGGCUCAACCUCGCGCCUGCAGUGGGUACGGGCAGACUGGAGUGCGGUAGGGGAGAUUGGAAUUCCUGGUGUAGCGGUGGAAUGCGCAGAUAUCAGGAGGAACACCGAUGGCGAAGGCAGAUCUCUGGGCCGUAACUGACGCU